rnacentral:rRNA from 1 species
UAUCUCUGUAGAGUCUGCAUAUCAAUAAGCGGAGGAAAAGAAACUAACUAGGAUUCCCUCAGUAACGGCGAGUGAAGCGGGAAGAGCUCAAAUUUGAAAUCUUCAAGGUUCUACCUUGACGAAUUGUAGUUUAAAGAAGUGUUUUCUGUUGGAGUUUUGGUAAAAGUUCUUUGGAAUAGGACAUCAUAGAGGGUGAGAAUCCCGUAUUUGACCAUUACUUUCCAGCGUUGUGAUACACUUUCAAAGAGUCGGAUUGUUUGGGAAUGCAGUCCAAAAUGGGUGGUAAAUUUCAUCUAAAGCUAAAUAUUGGCGAGAGACCGAUAGCGAACAAGUACCGUGAGGGAAAGAUGAAAAGAACUUUGAAAAGAGAGUUAAACAGUACGUGAAAUUGUCAAAAGGGAAGCGUUUGACACCAGUGUUGUUUUCUCGAAAAUCAAUUAAAAAAGGCAGGAUUUUGUGUUGUAUUGACUUUAUCAGCUUUCUGCACUCUUUUCUUGUCUUUUUUAAUGCACUUUUCGUUUAACAAGUCAACAUCAAUUUCUUUUGUUGUAAAAGGGUCAUUGGAAGGUGGCUUUCUUUUCGGAGAAAGUGUUUAUAGCCUUUGGCCUCUGCAAUCGGGGAGAUUGAGGUCUGCAGCGUAGAUCCUUCGGGGUUAGAUACAUUUGUGCUAAGUUAUAGCCUUUCAUAGACAACUUGUUGACUAUGAUCAGUCAUGUAGCUUACUCGCUUAUGCUAUUUUACCUACGCUUAGGAUGUUGACGAUCAGCUGAGCGCG